AUUGAACGCUGGCGGCAGGCCUAACACAUGCAAGUCGAACGAGUGGCGGACGGGUGAGUAAUGUCUGGGAAACUGCCUGAUCGAGGGGGAUAACUACUGGAAAAGGUAGCUAAUACCGCAUACCAUCGGAUGUGCCCAGAUGGGAUUAGCGAGUAGGUGGGGUAAAGGCUCACCUAGGCGACGAUCCCGAGCUGGUCUGAGAGGAUGACCAGCCACACUGAAACUGUGACACGGUCCAGACUCCCACGUGAGGCAGCAGGGGGGAAUAGGGCACAAUGGGCGCAAGCCUGAUGCAGGCAUGCCGCGUGUAUGAAGAAGGCCUUCGGGUUGUAAAGUACUUUCAGUGUGGAGGCGUUACCCGCAGAAGAAGCACCGGCUAACUCCGUGCCAGCAGCCGCGGUAAUUC
rnacentral:rRNA from 1 species